AGAGUUUGAUCCUGGCUCAGAACGAACGCUGGCGGCGCGUCUUAAGCAUGCAAGUCGAACGGCAAGAGAGGAGCUUGCUUCUCUCCUAGAGUGGCGGACUGGUGAGGAACACGUGGGUAAUCUACCCUUAAGAUGGGGAUAGCUGUUAGAAAUAGCAGGUAAUACCGAAUAGGCUCAGUGCUUCAUAAGAGGCGUUGAGGAAAGGGAGCUACGGCUCCGCUUGAGGAUGAGCUUGCGUCCCAUUAGCUAGUUGGUGAGGUAAAGGCCCACCAAGGCGACGAUGGGUAUCCGGCCUGAGAGGGUGAACGGACACAUUGGGACUGAGAUACGGCCCAAACUCCUACGGGAGGCAGCAGCUAAGAAUAUUCCGCAAUGGACGAAAGUCUGACGGAGCGACGCCGCGUGGAUGAAGAAGGCUGAAAAGUUGUAAAAUCCUUUUGUUGAUGAAGAAUAAGGGGAAGAGGGAAUGCUUCUCUGAUGACGGUAAUCAGCGAAUAAGCCCCGGCUAAUUACGUGCCAGCAGCCGCGGUAACACGUAAGGGGCGAGCGUUGUUCGGAAUUAUUGGGCGUAAAGGGCAUGUAGGCGGCUAUGUAAGCCUGAUGUGAAAUCCUGGGGCUUAACCCUAGAAUAGCAUUGGGUACUGUGUAGCUUGAAUUACGGAAGGGAAACUGGAAUUCCAAGUGUAGGGGUGGAAUCUGUAGAUAUUUGGAAGAACACCGGUGGCGAAGGCGGGUUUCUGGCCGAUAAUUGACGCUGAGAUGCGAAAGUGUGGGGAUCGAACAGGAUUAGAUACCCUGGUAGUCCACACCGUAAACGAUGUACACUAGGUGUUGGGGCAAGAGCUUCAGUGCCAAAGCAAACGCGAUAAGUGUACCGCCUGGGGAGUAUGCCCGCAAGGGUGAAACUCA
rnacentral:rRNA from 1 species